GAUGAACGCUGGCGGCGUGCCUAAUACAUGCAAGUCGAACGAACAGACGCGGAUCUUGCUCGUCGGACGUGAGCGGCGGGCGGGUGAGUAACACGUGUAUAACCUACCUAUCAUACUGGGAUAACUUCGGGAAACGGGAGCUAAUACCGGAUAAUAUAUUGAACCGCAUGGUGCAAGAGUGAAAGACGGUUUUGGUGGCGCUUAUAGAUGGAUCCUCGCCGCAUUAGCGAGUUGGUAAGGUAACGGCUUACCAAGGCGACGAUGCGUAGCCGACCUGAGAGGGUGAUCGGGCACACUGUCACUGAGACACGGUCCAGCGUCCUACGGGAGGCAGCAGUAGGGAAUCUUCCGAAAUGGGCGAAGGCCUGACGGAGCAACGCCGCGUGAGUGAUGAAGGUCUUCGGAUCGUCAAGCUCUGUUAUUAGGGAAGAAAAAAUGUGUAAGUAACUAUGCACGUCUUGACGGUACCUAAUCAGAAAGCCCCGGCUAACUACGUG
rnacentral:rRNA from 1 species